rnacentral:rRNA from 1 species
AUUGAACGCUGGCGGCAUGCCUUACACAUGCAAGUCGAACGGCAGCACGGGGCAACCUGGUGGCGAGUGGCGAACGGGUGAGUAAUGCAUCGGAACGUACCUUUCAGUGGGGGAUAACGUAGCGAAAGUUACGCUAAUACCGCAUAUUCAGUGAGCAGGAAAGCAGGGGAUCGCAAGACCUUGCGCUGAUUGAGCGGCCGAUGUCAGAUUAGCUAGUUGGUGAGGUAAAGGCCCACCAAGGCGACGAUCUUGAGCGGGGCUGAGAGGAUGAUCCGCCACGCCGGAACUGAGACACGGUCCCGACUCCUACAGGAGGCAGCAGUGGGGAAUUUUGGACAAUGGAGGCAACCCUGAUCCAGCCAUGCCGCGUGAGUGAAGAAGGCCUUCGGGUUGUAAGGCUCUUUCGGCCGGGAAGAAAUCGCACGGGCUAAUACCCUGUGUGGAUGACGGUACCGGAAUAAGAAGCACCGGCUAACUACGUGCCAGCAGCCGCGGUAAUAC